GUUUAUUAAAUUGGGAAAAAGAUGGGAGCAAUACAUCCAAACAUGACUUUAGCUUCACUCCUACUCAAUGCUUAAUUUCCCAAAUAUAAACCAAACACUCUCUCUUUAAUUUCCUAACCCGACACGUAUCCCACAGAAAAAUUAACGGAUUUGCCACUAUGAGCUUCUUGGUUCCUAGUAGAGGAGCCAAGAUUCCUCUAUCCAUCAUCGUUCUUGUUAUAUGCGGUUUUAUGUUCUCCGUUCUCUUAUACACCGAAAGAAUCAGCUUGAUGUCCUCUUCCACUUUGUCUUAUAAUGUCCUCAAGUUAAAGUCUUGUCCUAGGAAAGACCUUAGCUCUAAACCUAAGGAUAUAGUUCAAGAGGAGAAAGUACGAGAGGAGAAUGGUCGAGAGGAGAACGGUCGAGAGGAAAAUGGUCGAGAAGAGAGGUCAGAAAAUAUGGAUGUGGUGGACGAUAGGUUUGAAUUCGAUCCAGAAGAGUGUAAUGUUGCAGCCGGGAAAUGGGUUUACAAAUUACAAUAGCUCAGCUGAGCCACUCUACACUGAUGAGUCAUGUCCAUACAUCGACCGUCAAUUCUCUUGAAUGAAAAACGGAAGACCAGAAACUGAUUAUCUUCGGUGGGAAUGGCAGCCUGAUGACUGUACCAUCCCACGGUAACUAAUCUAUACUCAAAAGCCUACUAAAAUAUAAAUUAAAACCGUUUGUGAUUUAAUUCAACCGUUUGUGAGGUGAAAGUACCUUCCUUUGUUUUAUUUGUUAAUCUUUUCCUUUUUUUUUUCUCUUAGAAAACGCAAUUUUUUCCUUUUUUCAAACAUAUUUCCUUUUUGACGAACCCUUGCUUCUCUAUAAAUAUUUAGCAAUCGAUCUCUAAUCAGAGGAACACAACAGAGAGAAACAAAUUAAGAAAAGAGAUUAGCAACGCUUUGGUAAUAACAAUCAUGGACCUGGACGGGAUCAUCUCAACGAAGCAGACUGUAAACUAUGAAUCGAAGACGCGUGCCGUUGAUUCCAAUACUGCAGUAUCAUUCUCGAUACGGGUCCGAGAAGUUGAACUGCGUUUUGUGAGGGAUGGUAGCUUUCUUCGCGAAAAUCUGUUAAAACACAGAACCAUAGCUUCACCGGUUAUUGGAUUGGAGAUCCCACCUUGUUUUCUUGCUGGUGAAGAAAUUUGCAGAGGUUAUGUUGCUAAGGCCUUGUCUAAGACAAUUAUACCCACCUGGAUUCAACCGUUCAUCCUUCCUCAAAUCUGCAAAGAUGCCAUUACGGAGGGCAAAAGAAGUGGUUUCAUGGUUGAAGCUCAAGUUGGAGCAGUCAAACAAACAUAUAUCAAUAACUGUAUUGAUGUGAAUGAUUACAAUUCUGAAGGUCGUAAAAUACCAACCGAACCAGAUUGUCCAAUCUGCCUACAAGAUUUUGGUCCUAGGAGUAUCAUCACCAAGUUGCGCUGCUGCGAUUACAAUUUUCACAGGGAUUGUAUUCUCACGUGGCUGGGCCACAAGCCUUCAUGUCCUACUUGUCGUGAUGAUAUCCACAACCCCCGACCAAAGAAAUUUACCCCAAAGAUAUUUUUAGGCCGAUAACACAUAUAUGGCCAUGAACUCAAAGAUUCAGAUUUUUAUUUAAAUCCUUUUCCCUUUCAUGUUGUGUCUAAUAUGUAUGGCUUUUCUUUUCUUUUUUCCUUUCCUUUUUCGUCUUAUAUAGUUAAGAAUUGAAUGAAAAUAUGUAUCGUUUCAUGUAAAAUUUGAAUCUAAAUCUUAAAUCUUUGAAGGAGGAACAGUUGACUUGAAGAAGCAAACCUUCGGAAGUGUUUUGGUUCAUGUGAAGUUUCUUCAGUAGCACGAGCAGCUAAUGAAUUGGUGAAAGCAAUCUUUGGAGAUCCUAUCAAAGAUCAGAUCCCUCCUUUCAAGGCAUAAUGAUGAGCAGCCACUGAAUAUUACAGGACAACUUAUUUUCCGUGGCCAAAAUGGCUACUUUCAGUCGGGUCAGGUUAGUUACAGAUUUUUUGAGAGUUUGAAGCAAGCUGGUACAUGUCCUCCCCUUGGAACCUAAUCUUAGACACACCACAACGAAUCACUAGACUCUUCUUUGCUCCUUGGGUAUAAUAAGCUUAUGGUACUGCAAGUCUAUGGAAUGGAAAGCCAAGAAAAAAAGAUACUGAAAGAAUUCUACAGAAAAUGUGCGCUCGUUUACAUGGUUCUAGUGGUGCUAGAACAGGUCAAGGACAGAGUUACCUAUGUUGCGCAUCACACCCCAUUCCAGGCUGCAGAAGGUUUUUGCUAUAUAUAUAUGGGCGUUUCAUUGGCAAGAUCGUACAGAGAAGUUUCUGGGAAGACAGAAUAUUUUCAUGAGCUAGUCACAGAGCCAGCUCAACUUUUGGAGGUUCUGUCAGAAGACUUACCAGUUCGCUGUGUUAUGGUCUUACAUGAAGACGAAGCAAUACCAACGUGGAUCCACAAGAAGGCAAGGACAAGGUUGGUUUGUGUAACUAGAACAAGAGUAACAACAAAAAAAGUUAGCAACCAUGUUAUCACUUCUCUGUAAAGUUUGCAACAUUCUGAUUUGUAAACCCUUUCAACAACAAAGAAGUUGACUCUGAUC